GACGUAGGGGGCAAGCGUUAUCCGGAAUCACUGGGCGUAAAGAGCUCGUAGGUGGAAAUGUAAGUUAUUGAAUAAAGCCCAAUGCUUAACAUUGGUUAAUUUGAUAAUACUGCAUAUCUUGAGGACAGAAGGGGAAACUGGAAUUCCAAGUGUAGCGGUGAAAUGCGUAGAGAUUUGGAAGAACAUCGGUGGCGAAGGCGUGUUUCUGGUCUGUAUCUGACACUGAGGAGCGAAAGUUAGGGUAG
rnacentral:rRNA from 1 species